rnacentral:lncRNA from 1 species
AUGUUCUUCCUCUCUUGUUCUGUUUCUCUCCUCCCUCUUUCCCCUUCUCCCUUUCUCUCGCUGUCCUUUCACUGUCUUUUUCCCUCUCUUGCUCUCUCUCCCCUUCUCUCCUCACUCUUUCCCUCUCUUUCUACCUCCUUCUCCUUCUCUUUCCUUCUGUCUUCCUUCCAUCUUUUACUUUCACUUCUCUCAUUCUUUCCCUCUCUUUAUCUUUCUCUUGUUCUCUCUCCUUCUGCUUCUCUGCCUUGUUCUCUCUACAUCCAUCUCCCACUCUCUUCUUCCUCACUUUUUCUCUCUCCCUUUCUCCUUCUCUUUCCUUCUUCCUUUCCCUCCCUUUUUCUCUUCUCUGUCUUUGCUUCCCUCUCUCAUUCUUUCUCUUUCCCUCUCUGUCUCUUUCUCAUGAUCUCUUUUUCUCUCUUGCUGUUGCUUUCUCCAUUUUCCCCCCUCUCUCUUUCUCUCUCUCUGGCCCCCUCUCUUCUUCCUCUGCCUUUUUUCUCUCACUCUUCUCCCUCUCUCCCUCCCUCCUUUGCUCUCUUCCUUCUCUCCCUCUCUCUUGCUUUUCUCUUCUCUCUUGCCUUCUCUCCCCAUCUCCUUCCCUGUCUUUGCCUCUUGCUGCCUCUUUCUCCUUUUCUUUCUCUUAUUCACUCUUCCUCUUUCUUUGUUUGUUUCUCUCUCCUGCCCUCUCUUUCUCCCUCUACCUUCCUCUCUCUCUCUCUCCUUCUCUCUCCUCUAUUCUUCUCUCCCUCUCUCUCUGUCUCCUGUCUCUUGCUCUGUCUUCCCUUUCUCUUACUUUCUCUUCCUCUGUCCUUCUGCAUUUCUUGUCUCGCUCCUUCCCUCUCUUCUGUCACUUUUUUCCCCUUUUUUCUCUCUCCUUCACUUUUCUUUCUCUCCUAUCUGCCCGUCCUUCUCUCUGCUCCUGUCUUUCCCUCGGUUUGCCUCUCUCUCCUUCUCCUUCUCUGUUUCUCUCUCUCAUUCUCUUUGACUCUCUUUCUCACUGCUGGGGCUGCACCACCACUGAUGGCUCGGGGCUGGGCAGCACAGGUGCCAGUGCUGCUCUGCUGCCCAGCAGGUGCCUGCUGCCUGCCUGGGCCAGAGCCCCAGCACAGGGCGUCAGGCCCUCCCGGCCCAGCACAGCCCGGCCUGGCACAGCACGGCCCUGUGUCCCUGGGGCUCUUGACGCCAGGUCCCUGCGCACCACCAGCCCAGGGCAACACGGGCACCCCGGGGCUUCAGGCCGCGCCCCAGCGCUGCCGGUGUCAGCGGUCGCGGGGGCUGAGGGGGGCCGUGCCGCUCAGGUGGCCCUGGGGCGCUGCCGUGCGGGGGCUGCCCGGGCCCUGUAUUGUUCCCCGCGGCCGCCAGGCGGCGCCGCCGUGCGGGGGCUGCCCGGGCCCUGCAGUGUCGCCCGCGGCCGCCAGGCGGCGCCGCCGUGCGGGCGCUGCCCGGGCCCUGCAGCGUCCCCCGCGGCCGCCAGGCCCUGGGCGCGGCCAGUGCAGAGCCAGACGGGGCCACGAGCACUCCUGGGACACCUCUGCCCUUCCAUAG